GUGGCGAUGAUGAUUGGCGCAGGGGUACGGACCUCAGCUGGAUCAUGGGAGCUGAAUGUGAGCCGCGCCUUCCCUCGGGCGGACGUGUGGUUGGCCCCGGGGAGCACGUUCACAUGAGAGUUUCGCCGGGAACUGAGCCAC